rnacentral:rRNA from 1 species
UACGUAGGGUGCGAGCGUUGUCCGGAAUUAUUGGGCGUAAAGAGCUCGUAGGCGGUGUGUCGCGUCGGCCGUGAAAACUUGCAGCUUAACUGUGGGCGUGCGGUCGAUACGGGCGUCACUGGAGUUCGGCAGGGGAGACUGGAAUUCCUGGUGUAGCGGUGAAAUGCGCAGAUAUCGGGAGGAACACCAGUGGCGAAGGCGGUUACCUGGAGCUUUGCUGACGCUGAUGCGCGAAAGCGUGGGGAGCGAGUCCGG